GGAAAAGUGGCAGAGUGGUUGAAUGCGUCCGGCCUGAACCCGGAAGAUCGUCUCAACGGUCCGUGAGUUCGAAUCUCACCUUUUCCUCCA
rnacentral:tRNA from 1 species